AUGUGCUCCUGGGACACCCGACAGAUAUUUUUUGGAACUGGCACCAAACUCUUCGUGGAGCCCCUUCAGCCUCCUACCAAACCAUCCGUUUUUGUCAUGAGAAAUGGAACAAAUGUUGCUUGCCUGGUGAAGGACUUCUACCCCAAGGAUGUAACUAUAAGUCUCAAAUCAUCCAAGAAGAUAAGAGAAUUUGAAACCGCUAUCGCCGUCUCUCCCAGAGGGAAGUACAGUGCUGUCAAGCUCGGGCAGUAUGAUGAUUCGGAUUCGGUGACAUGUUCGGUUCAGCACAAUAAUGAAAUCGUGCACUCCACUGACUUGGAAUUGAAGACAAAUUCUUCAGAUCAUCUAAAACCAGAGGAACCUGAGAAUGGGAAGCCAACCUCAGAGAGCUGCUACAAACCCAGAGUUCAUGCCGAGAAGGUGAACACGAUGUCACUCACAGUGCUGGGGCUACGAAUGCUGUUUGCCAAGAGUGUCGCCAUCAAUUUUCUCUUCAGUGCCAAGUUAUUUUUCUUUUAAGGUUCACUGGCAUGAGGAGGCUACACUCCCUGACAGAAACUGACAGCUUACAAAGAGGAGAUCGCCUGGGCUUCUGACUUCUCGGUGACUCUGGUUGACCUGUCAUGGUGUUGUUAAAGCCUGCUAACCAAGCCAGUUUUCCUUUGAACGCAACAACAUCAGCUCCUCCUCCAGCCUGGUGGAGAGAAAAAAGUCGUGAGGAGUGGGGGCUCAUGGUCCUAACUGCUUUAUAUGCUGCUUUAUAA